rnacentral:rRNA from 1 species
AUUGAACGCUGGCGGCAGGCCUAACACAUGCAAGUCGAACGAGUGGCGGACGGGUGAGUAAUGUCUGGGAAACUGCCCGAUGGAGGGGGAUAACUACUGGAAACUGUAGCUAAUACCGCAUACCAUCGGAUGUGCCCAGAUGGGAUUAGCUAGUUGGUGGGGUAAUGGCUCACCAAGGCGACGAUCCCUAGCUGGUCUGAGAGGAUGACCAGCCACACUGGAACUGAGACACGGCCCAGACUCCUACGGGAGGCAGCAGUGGGGAAUAUUGCACAAUGGGCGCAAGCCUGAUGCAGCCAUGCCGCGUGUAUGAAGAAGGCCUUCGGGUUGUAAAGUUCUUUCGGCGAGGAGGCGUUACUCACAGAAGAAGCACCGGCUAACUCCGUGCCAGCAGCCGCGGUAAUAC